rnacentral:rRNA from 1 species
GGUGGAUGUCUGGGCAUCAGGAGCCGAUGAAGGACGUGGGAGGCCGCGAUAGUCCUCGGGGAGUUGUCAACCGAGCUGUGAUCCGAGGGUGUCCGAAUGGGGAAACCCAGCGCGUGUCAUGACGCGUUACUCGUGCCUGAAUUCAUAGGGUACGAGGGGGAACGUGGGGAAGUGAAACAUCUCAGUACCUGUUUUUUGAGAAAACGAAUGUGAUUCCGUGUGUAGUGGCGAGCGAUAGCGGAUGAUGGCUAAACCUGGUGUGUGGAUAACUCGGUAGGGGUUGCAUGCUGGGGGUUGUGGGGCAUCGUUGUUCCUGGUCUACCGGCUGGGGUUGUGGGUUGUGUGUGUGAGUUGAACUGGUUUGGGAUGGCCGACCGGAGUGGGUGAGAGUCCCGUAGACGAAACGCGUGGCCCCAGUGUUACACACUCUCCCGAUUAGCACGGAACUCGUGGAAUUCCGUGUGAAUCUGCCAGGACCACC